GCGGCCGCCCUGUGCAUUGCUGGCCGGCCUGAGUGGGACAGAGCUGGCCGGCGGAUGUUGCUCUUGGCCCCUGGACUGUGGAAUGCAAAUUUUGAAAUAAGAGCUACCAGAUGUGAAUACACACGAUAAAGUGUGUAUCAAGGUAGCAAAGGUCAUACCCCAGCCACGUGGCGGCGGGCCCCUUCCCGGCCCUCAGAGCCAAUCCUUCCCUUCCCAUCCUCCAGAGACCCAGGGGUCUUCUCCCUUCGGCCUCUUGCCAAGGGACCCUGGACCCUUCCCUCUGUACCUGAGACCUGGAGCAGAACAGGACAGGAAACCUUCACCUUCAGGCCACCCCCAAUACCACAGGCGUGAACCAGACUCACGGACAUCUUGAGGCAGGAGAAUAGCAGAGAAAUUCGGGGGGCGAAGGGGACCGUUGGACAUAGGUUAGCUUAAGCAGAAGCAAAACGUGUCAAAUGGCAGAAGCAGGACAUGCGAAAUAAGGGAGGAAGCAG
rnacentral:lncRNA from 1 species